rnacentral:ncRNA from 1 species
UCAAGCUCAAGCCAAACCUGUCGUGAGGCAGGGACAGAAAGCCGCGGAUCUUUAUCACAAAGAAAGCCGGGUUGCCUUG